rnacentral:rRNA from 1 species
GCUCAGGAUGAACGCUAGCUACAGGCUUAACACAUGCAAGUCGAGGGGUAGCAGGGUAGCAAUACCGCUGACGACCGGCGCACGGGUGAGUAACACGUAUCCAACCUUCCCAUAACUCGGGGAUAGCCUUUCGAAAGAAAGAUUAAUACCCGAUAGUACUUAUAUAAGGCAUCUUAAAUAAGUUAAAGAUUUAUUGGUUAUGGAUGGGGAUGCGUUCCAUUAGAUAGUUGGUGAGGUAACGGCUCACCAAGUCUUCGAUGGAUAGGGGUUCUGAGAGGAAGGUCCCCCACAUUGGUACUGAGACACGGACCAAACUCCUACGGGAGGCAGCAGUGAGGAAUAUUGGUCAAUGGGCG